rnacentral:rRNA from 1 species
UACAGAGGGGGCAAGCGUUAUUCGGAAUUAUUGGGCGUAAAGGGCGCGUAGGCGGCUUUGCAAGUGACGGGUGAAAUCCCUCGGCUUAACCGAGGAACUGCCUGUCAGACUGUAAGGCUUGAGACCGGGAGAGGUGAGUGGAAUUCCCAGUGUAGCGGUGAAAUGCGUAGAUAUCCGGAGGAACACCGGUGGCGAAGGCGGCUUCCUGGACCGACACUGACGCUGAGGCGCGAAAGCUAGGGGAGCAAACGGG